rnacentral:rRNA from 1 species
CCUGGCAGUCAGAGGCGAUGAAGGACGUGCUAAUCUGCGAUAAGCGUCGGUAAGGUGAUAUGAACCGUUAUAACCGGCGAUUUCCGAAUGGGGAAACCCAGUGUGUUUCGACACACUAUCAUUAACUGAAUCCAUAGGUUAAUGAGGCGAACCGGGGGAACUGAAACAUCUAAGUACCCCGAGGAAAAGAAAUCAACCGAGAUUCCCCCAGUAGCGGCGAGCGAACGGGGAGCAGCCCAGAGCCUGAAUCAGUGUGUGUGUUAGUGGAAGCGUCUGGAAAGGCGCGCGAUACAGGGUGACAGCCCCGUACACAAAAAUGCACAUACUGUGAGCUCGAUGAGUAGGGCGGGACACGUGGUAUCCUGUCUGAAUAUGGGGGGACCAUCCUCCAAGGCUAAAUACUCCUGACUGACCGAUAGUGAACCAGUACCGUGAGGGAAAGGCGAAAAGAACCCCGGCGAGGGGAGUGAAAAAGAACCUGAAACCGUGUACGUACAAGCAGUGGGAGCACGCUUCGGCGUGUGACUGCGUACCUUUUGUAUAAUGGGUCAGCGACUUAUAUUCUGUAGCAAGGUUAACCGAAUAGGGGAGCCGAAGGGAAACCGAGUCUUAACUGGGCGUUAAGUUGCAGGGUAUAGACCCGAAACCCGGUGAUCUAGCCAUGGGCAGGUUGAAGGUUGGGUAACACUAACUGGAGGACCGAACCGACUAAUGUUGAAAAAUUAGCGGAUGACUUGUGGCUGGGGGUGAAAGGCCAAUCAAACCGGGAGAUAGCUGGUUCUCCCCGAAAGCU